UAAAUAAUGUAGGUCAGUGUCUAGCUGAGUAGCUAGCUACUAGUGAGCAAGCUGUCUCCUCAUGUUUGUAGUAAUGAAUAAUGUAGGUCAAGGUCAGGUCUUGACAUGACGAGAGAGCACGCAUGUAGGCGAUCACAUGUACUGUGAUCAUGUGUGCUUUAGGUGUCUUAGCUUGUAGCGGUGACCAUGUGUUCUUCAGGUGUCCUAGUACUUCCUCUGUUCCGAAAUGUAAGUCGUUUAAGGGUUUGACGUGUAAAUUUCGUAACGCUACGAGAAUUUUUCACUUUCCAGAAAUGCCCUCCCACCACCGCUCGCUCUCACCCACUCAAGCUCACUCUCUCGUUCCCCUCUCACCCACCCGGCCACCCCUCUCUCGCUCCCCUCCAGAUCCCCGUCGUCGCCGGCCUCUCCUCGCCAUCGUCACCGCUAAGCCACCCCGCUUCCUCUCUUUCUCCGCACCAUCGAGCCACCCCGUUUCCUCCCACCGCCAGAAAUCCACCACCCGUAGGUCAAAAGCUUGAUUUUUUAGGCGCCGGCGAUGAGCUUCUGGCCGGCGGAGGCGCUGGAUCCGCGUGCUUCGACGCCGGCGACGAAGCGACAUGGAUCCGGGCGGGAUGCUGCUGGAGGACUUCGGGCUGUGGGUGGACCUGGUGCGGCGCAUCCGCGAGGUGCUGGCCAACUACCCGGAGGGCACCACCGCGCUGCGGGACGCCGGGAGCUCAUCCAGAACGCCGACGAUGCCGGGGCCUCGUGCGUCCGCCUCUGCCUCGACCGCCGCGCCCAUGGGUCCCGCUCGCUGCUCGCCCCCGCGCUUGCGCAGUGUACGCCAGCAACGACGCCGCCUUCACCGACGAAGAGUUCGCCAGCAUCCCCCGCAUCGGCGGCCGCAAGAAGUCCUCCCAGGCCUGGAAGACCGGCAGCAAGAUGGGCGCUAGCUACACUCUCUAUCGCUGCUGAGCUCUGCUUCGAGCUGCUGCUCUUUCAAUUUGAGCUGCGCUAGCUAAGCUCUUUCAAUCUGAACCAGUACGUGUUCAUUUUCUACUCGUACGAAUGUUGCUGCUGUUUUGUGUUGUCACCUACGAAUGCUGCUGCUAAUUUGAGUUCUACUGUUAAUUUGAGAACAAUAUGCUUAGCAAGGACCCACUGUUAAUUUGGAGUAGCAACUGUACUCCAUUGAAGUACUGUUACUGUUAAUUUGCAAACUGAAUUUGGAGUAGCAGCAUACUGAAUUUUGUAUACUGAAUUUGGAGUAGCAAUUUGGAGUAUGAAGCAGCUGUAUGGAUUACUGUUAAUUUUGCAUACUGAAUUUGAGUAAAAUGGAGUAGCUCUGUCACUGAAUUUGGUUGGUAAAGAUGCAGUAGCAGUAGGAGUUUUUACUGCACCUAACUAAGGUAGCUGCUGGGGUUAAUUAGUUACCGCGCCUAAUUAAUUAUCAUGUGUAAUCUGAACUGGUGUGUGUACCAAGUGAUGAUGGUUCUUAAGUUUAGCAUGCAUCACCAAGUUAAUUGGGCGCCUAAUUGCCAACUCUUUUGUGUCAGGAACAUAUAUUCAUAAUGGAAUAAAAACAACUUGCCAAGUUCUUUUGUGACUGGAACAUAUUCAGAAUGGAAUAAAAACAACUUGCCAAGUUCUUUUGUGACUGGAACAUAUUCAGAAUUUAUUUCUUCUCCAGUUCAGUUGCUUAAUUUUCUUGGAGUACAUUUGCUUAAUUUGCUUGGAGUACAUUUAACUUGGAGUACUUCAAUACUCCAAGAUUUGCUUAAUUUGUGAACAGGAGUAGUUUUCAGAAUGGAAUGAAAACUAAUGGCAGUACAUUUGCUUAAUUUGCUUUGAGUACAUUUAACUUGGAGUCCUCUCGUACUCCAAGAUUUGCUACUCAAACAAAUUUUGAGUACUUGCACUUGCACACAACACUACUCAGCAAUUUUCAAUUAAUUUUCUUGGAUUACUCCAUCUUGCUCUGUUAGGUUAUCUUGCAUUUUCUGUUAAUUACUCCAUCUUGGAUACUUGGAGCACUGAUGAUGAUUGCUGCUGUUAUGUUAGGACUUGCAAGCAGUAGUUUUAGUACUUUAGUGUAGGACUUGCAACAAGAGGAGAGCUACUGUAGUAUACUCCUCUUGUGCCCUCCAUAUUCUUGAUCUCUUCUUUUCUCUUCUCUCUUCUACAGUAAAUAUGAGCCCUACAAUAAUAUGAUUUGUGACCUUGAAUGUUUUUUUCCAUCAGAUUGUUUUAAAGAAGGGCUAAUGAAAAAAGAUGUGUGAGGGUAUCAGUCAUUCUCAUGCCGGCAUGCUGCACUUUUCAGCUAGCAGGUUGGUAUCUCAACAUUUCUCCAUUCAAGUCAUUUCCCAUAGUGUUUUUUCGAAGCACUAACUGCAGAUUUGCAUACUAAGAAUGGCUGGAGUAUUUUAUUUACAUCAAAUUAUGUCAAACAGUUUAGAUUGUUCAGUCAUACCAUAGUGUUUAAAAUUUUGGACAUUCUGAAGAUUCAAAUAAAAAUAGACAUGUGCACAGUUUACUUGAUCAUGUCAAGUUACAGGUGAAAGUGACCCUCUUAUGGGAAUAAUGAAGUACAGAAAUGAGAUCGAGUUCAAAGUAAGGCUGGGGUAAAAUUUUCAAAGGCCAUGAUGUACUCCUUCCUGAUAUUCAUGCUCCUGAUAUUCCUACUCCUAUUCCUACUCAAUUUUACCUUAAAUGAGAGUAGCAAUUAUUUCUGCCCGUUAAUUCAUACUCCUACUGAUUUGGAGUACUGAUGAAACUAAGUCCAAACCUGUUCUAAAUUGACAGUACUUGUUCAUCUUUUCUAUUGACAGUACCGGUCCAAACCUGUUCUAAAUUGACAGUACUUGUUCAUCUUUUCUAUUGACAGUACCGGUCCAAACCUGUAUUGAUAGUACAUGUUCUACUCAGUGUUCAUCUUUCACUGUUCAGUUUCAGUGUUAAAUUUCAGUAUUACUCCAAGAUUGUACUGCAUGCAAUUAUUCAAGACAAAUGAUUACAACAAGUUUAUGAUCAUCAAAUUGUUUACUCAGAUGCAGAGCGAGUACUGGGCGAGGAGAUGAACCUAGGCGAGCAAAAUUGAGAACUCCGGCUGGAGCAGCUCCUGUCCAGCGGCGAGGACUUCAGCGGCAGCAGCACCUGUGCGUGGGGAGGAACAACACCUGGGCGCGUGCAGGCGGCAGCUCGCCUCCAACAGUGGGCGGCAGCAGAGCACCAGCUCGCCACCACCAGGGGCCGGCAGCAGAGCACCAGCUCGCCUCCACCAGCGGGCGGCAGCAGAGCACCACCUGGGCACGCGCGGGCCAGGAGGGGCCCCUGGGCGUGGGAGAGGAGGAGCGCCUGGGCAGGGGUGGAGGUGGAGGGCGGGGGAGGAGGCGGAGGUGGAAGGCAGGGAUGGAGGCGGAGGUGGAAGACGCCGAGGAAGAAGACGGGCUGAUUCAAAGUUUGAACUGGGGGCAUAAAGGUCCAUUUGCCCAUUUUCACCUGGUCGGAACAUAUUCCCCAGCGACUUACAUUUCGGAACGGAGGGAGUAGCUUGUAGUACGUCUCGUUGUGGCUUGUGAGUCAGCUUGCUAAUGUAUGUGAGUCGUCGUUAAAUCAGGUUGUGGCUUGUGAGUCAGCUUGCUAAUGUAUGUGAGUCGUUAAAUCAGGUCGUUGUUGAAUCAGAACGUGUGCUCUUAAAUUGUUCUCUUGGACUGGCUAGAGAGGAACAACUCCCGACCGUACUGGCCCAUGAACAACUCCAGGUAGGCGGCCUCAUCAAUUCCUGCGGUCCACUAGUCUGGUGUUGCUUCCCAUGGCCGUCCUCAAGGAAAGGGGCCUUGUUGUGGAAUCCAUCGGAUCUGAAUUCGCCCCUUCCCGUUCCAGGCCUAGUUGCAGGGUCUUUCCUCACGUCACGAGGGAGGCAGGGAGCUCAGUUGCACGGGUGAGGAUGAGGGCCUCGGGUGCAUGUGCCACAUUGGUCGGUGCAUGACUAGUUGAUGUUGGUGUCGAUUAGGGUUUAGGGCCAUGAAUGACAUCUAGUUAAGUAUUGCAAGAAAAUAUAGCAGGGUCAUGUGACUAUUUAAAAAAAAUCUAAGUAUAAUCUCUUAUCCAUUAUCUCAGGAAACAAUUUAUUUUUUUGUAAAUUUGCCAUGUGCUGACUGCAAACAUUUUCAAAAUUUGCCAUGCUAUAGAGAAACAUUUUCCCUUAAUUUGCCAUGUGAUUAUUGGAAAAAAAAUCUGAAUCGUUGCCAUGAUUUUAGGAAACGUAAAUUUUCAAAAAUAGCCAUGUGAUCAGUAUAAACAUUUUAAACUUUACCAUGUUCGAGAGAACAAAAUCUCUUAAAUUUACCAUGUGAUUAUCUUACAUUUUUUUCUAAAUCGUGCCAUGAUUUGGGAAUCAAAAUUAUCUCAUUUCACCAUGCGAUUAUCUAGUUUUUUUUUCUAAAUCUUGCCAUGAUUUGGGAAUCAAAAAUUAUCUCAAUUCGCCACGUGAUCACUGCAAACCUUUCCAAGUUGACUAAUCUUUUCAACAAAAUUUUAAUGUGACCAUGGCAACUCAUUCGUUUGUUUCCAUUUUCCCCCUACAUUGUGGAACUUGUUUGUGUGCGAGCUUUUAUACACAUGCAUUCUUCAACUUGUAGUGUCUUUUCUCCUAGAUCAUGAUACACUUUUGUUUUUAUGUGACAGCUUUAUACAUAUGUGAAGGAACUGUUUAACAUGGUAAAUUUAUGCUCUAUCAUGGCUCUCGAAUGUGUUUUGUAUAUACUUUGUCAUGUCAUAAUAGUAACUGUUGAUUUCAUUAAAUAAUGGGUCUAAGUAACUCUUACAGAAAGGCAUCACGCCUUGCUUUAUCCCACGAGAAUACGACCAAUCCAAAACCAGAUGUUCACAAACAUACAACAAUGUUCGAAAUAAAAAGUACUACCUACCUUCCUAAAUAUAACUUUUUAGAGACUUCAGUGUGCACCAUAUAAGAAGCAAAAUGAGCGAUCUACACUUUAAAAUAUGUCUAUAUAUAUUAGUAUGUAGUUUUUAUUAAAAUCUUUAAAAAGACUUAUAAUUAAAAUAUAUCUAUAUACAUCAGCAUGUAGUUUUAUUGAAAUUUUUAAAAGGACUUAUAUUUAGAAACGGAAGAAGUACAGAAAAUACGUGCUUGGGGCACAACAAAACAAGCCCACAAUUGCUAACAUAACUAUCAAGCAGAAUAAGUGACCACAGGCAUCCGGGACGCCAACUCGGAUCCGGUGCCUUGACACACAAAAGGCACAUGUGAAUAGCGAAACUACUAUGCAGACGAAAGUCCCUGCACGAUCAGGGAACGACAGCCAAAUCCAGCCGUCUACUUCAUUUCAGUGCUGUGCAUGGACGAGCUGAUUUGCAUUGUCGUUCACAUAUCGUCCACAGCCCAUCGUGUGUAUAGCAGCGCUGUGUGAAUAGUGCAAUGCCUUGAGCUUUCAGCCGCUAGAUCGGAAAUCAAGGUUCCAGAUUUCAGUGAACAGUACUCCGCGCUACAAUGUGUUAGUCAUGUAGCGAUUGUCCUGUAGCAGACUUCCUGUAGCGAUGCACUGUAGCAGACUUCUCGAUGUUCAUCGGACCGUUGCUUGUAGAUCCAACGGUCAGGAGAUGCCCUCAAGGCACAAUACUGUUCAUCCGUGCCUUGUGUGUGUCAAGGCACCGGAUCUCAGUCCGACUCCUCGUGCUUCCUGGCCAGGUUGUCGAUAGCGCCUUAUCCCGCCAUUCUCUUAGGGUCUCAAUAACUCUUAUCUCUUACAUUCCACGUGAAAAGGGAAGAUAAAAGGGAUCAUGUUAAAAUUAACUGUGUUUUGUAUAUAAUUAAUCAUGUCAUAAUAGUAAUUUUAAUUUUUUUUAAUCUAGUUGUCAUGAUAUUGUGAUUUUCAGAUUUUUGAAAAAAAAUACAAUGAUUUUUACAUCAGUUCUUUUAUUGGUCAACUACAGUGACAUUUGGUCCAACGGGUUGGGCAUCUCCUCUCUGUUUCGGUCGUGCAGAAUGGCCUGCAGAGAACAUCAUCAUUCUCUCAUUCCAUGCUACCUGAGGGAACAAUCGUCCCUCGGGAACCUCCUAAGGUAACGUUCACCAUAUUAGCGUCCAAAAAAUGGAUAUGGAGUUUUUGUACCUGAGAUAAGAAAAAAUAGUAAAAGAAUUUGAAAAUUCCAAUUUUUCUCCUAAACAUGCAUGUUUCAACUGCAUUUGUCAUUUCAUCACAAAAGUUUACAUGCAGUUGAAAUAUUCAUCAAUGUUCAUAAAAAAUAGAUUUUUAAAAUUUUUUUACCAUUUUCUAAAAUUUUACUGUUCAUAAGGGAGCACGUGAGAUCGGAAUUAAAAGAACAUUUGGCCAUAAAAACAAAGAAAAUGUACUAUAAUGCUUGCCUUUGGCAAGAAUAUAAACAGAAAUGCACCAGAGUGAACAAGCGCCGCUCUAGAAAUUCCAAACUGCCGGAUGCUGUAUACGGAGUCCGUAGCACGGCAAGGGCUAGUCCAUGCAUGCCUGGUCUCCGACCGGCCGCCAAACGAGAGCUGGCAUGGCCAGGAGUGCUCCACGACGCGGACAUACGUGACGUGGCGGAACAACGACAACGCAGGACAGCUCAGGUGUCCUAGCUCGUACUAGCUCAUUCCGGUCACUUCCUCGGAUAACCAUGCCCUACGCCCGUGCGCAGGCGUAUGCCCAUGCACGCUCGCACGCGUCGCGCCACAGGGGACUCGCAUGGCGCGCGUCGACACAUCAGAGGCACACGCGCCGGCGCUCCGCGCCGUGACGCGCCUCCUCCGCCGCUAUAAAAGGGGCGACGCCGGUGCCUCCUCCUUCAUCAGCAUCAGGCAAUCACGAACACCACCUUACAAGCAGUGACACAACGUUUCCCAGUUGAGGUUGUAGUAGCAAGGCAGGCAGAGAGAGCAAUGGCUUCCGGUCAGCAGGAGAGGUCGCAGCUGGACCGCAAGGCCCGCGAGGGCGAGACCGUCGUCCCCGGUGGCACCGGCGGCAAGUCCCUCGAGGCGCAGGAGAACCUCGCCGAAGGUGCGUACGGGCAUGAUGAUGCAUGCGUGAGAAAUGUCGUCGUACUAUACUUGAGCGAUCUGUGACUUCCGAUGCUGAUUGCUAGUAUUGCUGUGUGCUGUAUUUGUGCAGGGCGCAGCCGUGGCGGGCAGACUCGCAGGGAGCAGAUGGGGGAGGAGGGGUACAGCCAGAUGGGGCGCAAGGGCGGGCUGAGCACCAACGACGAGUCCGGCGGCGACCGCGCCGCCAGGGAGGGCAUCGACAUCGACGAGUCCAAGUUCAAGACCAAGUCCUAGAUGAUCUGUUACCCUAGCAAGCAAGACGAAUCUCCUUAGGUCGGCUGUUGGUUUGCCCUAGUGUCUACGUACCGAAUAAUGUAGUUCAGGCGCACGUAGGCGAUCGUACGUAGUAUGAUCAUGUGUGCUUCGUAGCUGGUAGUCUGUAGCUACUCUACGGUGAGUAGCGUCAGGUUAAGUCGGAAGCGUACUGUGGCUUGGUCAGGUGGCUGGUCUGCCUCUGGGCCCAGGAGUGUCGCAGUGUCCACUGUAUCCUUGCUUCUUCAGUAAUGCAUGUCGUCUUGCUCAAAUCUGGAGCCUUGUCUGAUUUGUGUUGAUUGCUGGUGCUUUUGGGGGCAUACCCUUGUUGCUCGUAGCCGUCACCGGCUCGUCUCAACGAGAAACACACGGGUGCCCCAUGAGCAGUCACUGUGACCGCCAAACCAUGAAUGAACGUGUACCUUCAUGGCUUUGCUCAGCACCUGCGUCUAUACAUUUGCCACGAAAGAUGAGAUACCAGAGCAGAUCGAUCGAUCUCGCGGACAUGUCCCAGAAACGGGGAGCUCUUGAUUACGUCCGGGAGUUCGGCAAUGCACGCGUGGACGAGACUGAAAGGGCCUUCCGUAAGAGAUGCCGCAUGCACUAUAUAAUUGAAGCAUCUCAUUAGUACUCGAAAUGGAGACUCUUGACUCAUCAUAAAAUACACCGUACGUGCUUGUAAGUUGUAACAAAGCAUUCACAAGGACACAUAUUUUUGGAAUUUUCGGAACUAGAGUCCACAUGUAUCCCUUAUGAAUAGUAAAAAAGAAUCAAGCCGUAAUGAAAAAAAAUAACAAAUGGCCUGUGAAGUUCCUUAACUUAGAUGAUAUUUGUUGUGGGAAUUGGUUGUAAUAUAUUUUAUAUGAGAUUUGGUUGUAUAAAGCAUGAGUAGUUUUGAUUUAUAAAUGACUAAAACCGAAUAUAUAUAUGGUAUUUGGUUAUUAUAUAAUUACAAAUUAUUUAUUGGACUUUUUUUUAACAUCAGUAAGUAGCAUAAUAUAGUGUGCUUUCUUUUAACAUCAAUACAGACGCAAGAGCUCAUACAUACGCGCAUACACUCACCCCCUAUGAACACACACAUCCUACCCUUACGAGCAUUUCCGGAGACUGAGCCGACAUAUCAUCAUGAGAUUUACAAAGUCAUCGUGGGCCCUUCGUCGUCGACGGGAACGUUUCCUCCCACUGAAAGCGCAUCACCGAAAGUCCUGAAAUAAAUCCAGAAAUAAUGCGAGCACCAGGACUUGAACCCUGGUGGACUGGGGUUACCGCCAAUCAACCACAUGUUGGUUCACAUAUAAUGGUUUUUUUUUGCCAUGGCAUGUGUGUAUAUUGAGAAAAAUAAAGUAGUGAGGAUCAACACUUAACUAGAGGUGUUGCUACAAAGGAAUUGUGCCCCUAAUACCUUAUUUUCCCCAAAAACAUCACAUAUAUGAGUAGAACAGUCGACCAGUUUUAUUAUGAAAAGGUUGUGUAUUAAUUAACCUGCCUCAAGAUUAUCCAGUGCACAUAGUUUUACAAUUCUUCCAGAACCAGACCGGAACCAGACGGCCGUCUUAAUCUCAACUCUCCCAAUCUAAGCUAAUUCAUGACUAACACGAUUACUCUCCCUUUUGAUAGCCUGGAUUUUAAUCUCCCGCUCCCCUCUCAUCAUAGUUGAGAUCUCUUGAGUAAUGGCAGUGUGUUGUGAUCUGUCAACCGAGGGGUUGGAUAUCAUCACAGCAACUUUAGCACUAUCCAUUUCAAAGGUGAACGGAAGUGAGCUCCAUUCCAAAGCAAGAGCAAUACCCUCCUUGCAGCCUCGAGUUCUGUAGCUAGAGCAUUACCACAUGUGAAGAGAUGUCGAAACGAGUUGAAAAUAAUGCUACAAGAGCUGUCCUGGAGCACCAUUCCCGUGCUCCCAUUGCCUGCAUGUGCUAUGUUUGAACCAUCCACGUUUAGUGUGAGCAACCCGGGCUUAGGCGCUCUCCAGCCCUUACUCGGACGCAGCACUUCGUGGCGCCCGGUGUGUUGUUAUGGCCGCUAGCAGCCAGUGCAUCCCUGUUGUUGCCUUCUCCCAACUCGCCAUGGCUGCUGCCGGCCGUCGUAUGUAACAUCGGGCUCAUCAAGACCAUUUUACCUUUUUCUCGGUCUGCUGUGGUCAUCAAGAGAGCCAUGCAAGAUGUGUCCAAGAGCAGCUCAAGCACGUCAAAGAGCCAUCCGGGCCUGUGUGCCGCACCGGCUUGAUGUCCCGGAGCGUCCAGUCUUUAGUCAUCGCCCUCCAAAGCUCGACUGCACGAGGGCACCUGCACAUUGCGUGAAAUCCAUCCUCGCAUUCCAGACCACACAUGAGGCAUAUGUCAGUGGUUUUCAAAUGACGGUAGAAUUUAUUUGCCCACUCUUGCAAGAUAAUUUGUCACAAGCCGCCAAGCAAACAGCGUAUCUUUGGGGGACCAGAUGGCGCGUCAACCAUCCGGUGCCAGGGCAAUAACUAGCAGGCCAAAGAUGAAGACAAACAAUAGCGUGGAGUACAGACUAGCUGGCGUGGCUACUAGACGGCCCAUCGUCAAAAUGAUGAUUGAACACCACUUCAUGUCCAAGGGGAAAACUCCUAUUCUGGCCCUCAUUCAUUGGUUAGGCUUAGCAGCGAUGAACUUGCGUCAUUACCUUGUCGAAGGUGCUGUCUCCUUGCCAUUGUGCUGGCCUUCGGUGGUUAGUUUUGACAAUUGGAAUGAAAAUCCUAGUCUUGGUUGUCUUCGACCGGACGUGAUCAUGGCGAUGUGAGAGCACUUAUUCCUCGAAAGAAGUCGGAUUAGUCGUAGAUGUUUAUUUCAUACAUUUUAUAAUGACUAAGCCGUGUUUAUCUUUCUCUAACUCUGCUUAAUACUCCCUCCGUCCAGAAUUACUUGUCAUUAAAAUGAAUGUAUUUAAAACUGAAAUACAUCUAGAUACACCCAUUUCAAUGACAAGUAUUUUCGGACGAAGGGAGUAACUAAUAAGAAUAAUUAUGUGCAUUACGAUGAUGCAGAGGCCAAGAGUUUAACCUUCUUUUUGUUUGAAAAAAAUAGCAAUGGAACGCUCGAUCCAUGCCCUGGUUCCUACGACCGGACGACGACGAACGCACGUACGGGAGUGACAAGUACGGUAGUACUACGAUCUACGCGCCAACAGGACGACAGUGCCAAGACAACGCAGGUGUUGUACGUAGGCUCCUACAGCUCUCUAGCUCAUUCCGGUGGCUGCCUCGGAUAAGCACGCUCGGACGUGUCAUCCGCCCGGUGCCUCGCCUAACGCGUGUCGAUGCGUCAGGGACAGCAAGAGGAGCGGCUUGCGUCCGCGUCGUCGCACACGCCCCGUCUCCUGGCCGCGCGGCGCGCCUCCUCUCCGGCUAUAAAACUGCGACGUCGCUACCUCCUCCAUCACCAGCACCAAACAAGCAACCACAAGCACCGCACAAGCUGAAGCAGUAGAGCGCACACGUUCCCUUCCAGUUGAGGUCCGAAGUAGCGAGGCAGAAAGAGAGCGAGCGAAGAGCGAUGGCCUCCGGUCAGCAGGAGAGGUCGCAGCUGGACCGCAAGGCCCGCGAGGGCGAGACCGUC
rnacentral:lncRNA from 1 species